UGUAGUUUCUAAGAUUUUAACUUAGGUUAUUUACUUGCAAAGCAAACGUUUUUAAUUAAACUAAAACCAC
rnacentral:tRNA from 1 species